rnacentral:lncRNA from 1 species
GAAAAGAAGAUUAUCUCUUAAAUUAAUUAAUUAAACCAGUUUAUCUGGCUAAUUAAUUAAUUGGGAUAAAUAUCUUAAUUAAUAUGAUAUUAUCUUUAUUUAAAGAGAUAAUAUCAUUAAUUCAGAUAUUAUCCUAAUAAAGAGAAGAUAAUAUCAUUUAAUUCAGAUAUUAUCUUCUUAAGAGAUAAUAUCAUUAAUUUGGAUAUUAUCAAGUCCGACUCG